rnacentral:rRNA from 1 species
AUUGAACGCUGGCGGCAGGCCUAACACAUGCAAGUCGAGCGGAUGAAGGGAGCUUGCUCCUGGAUUCAGCGGCGGACGGGUGAGUAAUGCCUAGGAAUCUGCCUGGUAGUGGGGGAUAACGUCCGGAAACGGGCGCUAAUACCGCAUACGUCCUGAGGGAGAAAGUGGGGGAUCUUCGGACCUCACGCUAUCAGAUGAGCCUAGGUCGGAUUAGCUAGUUGGUGGGGUAAAGGCCUACCAAGGCGACGAUCCGUAACUGGUCUGAGAGGAUGAUCAGUCACACUGGAACUGAGAAACGGCCCAGACUCCUACGGGAGGAAGCAGUGGGGAAUAUUGGACGAUGGGGGAAAGCCUGAUCCAGCAAUGCCGCGUGUGUGAAGAAGGUCUUCGGAUUGUAAAGCAAUUUAAGUUGGGAGGAAGGGCAGUAAGUUAAUACCUUGCUGUUUUGACGUUACCAACAGAAUAAGCACCGGCUAACUUCGUG